UUCGUUUGCAACAGCUGCCUCUAUCGUCUUCCACCUACCAGCUUCCCUCGCGUCCCCCGCAUCCCGCCGCCACCUCUCCCUGGCCCAGCUCCUCCUCUGCGUUGGUGCCGCCACCACCUCGCAUUCUCCUGUGCUCCUUUCUGCCUCGCUGGUGAUCUCCUUGGGUAGAGAAGGAGAGCGCCGGCUGGCCGGCCUUGGAGCAGCACGCGAUUGCUGCAGGCUGCACCAGCCAUGGGCGACCGCCUCGCCUUGCGUUGGGUUCGACCCCGUGGAUGAUCGCCUGCUCCUCUGGCACCACGCCGCCGGUGGGCUUCUUCAUCGCCGUGGGGUCGAGCAGCUGCAGCCAGCGGUCAACGCGGGAGCCUGCAGAUCCGUCGUCGUCCACGUCUUCCGCCCGCUACGCCCGCGGCCGCCGGCGGUGGCCUGUCUUAGCCCAUGGCGGCGGUCUAUUGUGGAUUGGGUUCAUUUUGGUUCUUCUCUGUGUCGUCGGCGGUGGCCGGUGCUCGAGUUUGGUUGAGGCCAGCGCGCCUGUUUAUUUAGAUUUUUUUCCGCUCGCAGAUCUGUCCAUGGCUGCGCUCCUACCUAAUUUGUUUUUCAUUUUUUUACUUUUCAUGGGGUACCGCCUGUGUUUGUUUCUUUUGCUUCUUCUGAUUUUUUUCCCCUCUUCUUGACUGUGUUUCUAGAUUAGGGUCUCCUAUGUCCGUUCUUCACCAUCGAGGGCACCGUGAGUGUCGUGCUUUGCCGUCAUUCUUGCAGGUUGUAGACUCGGCCCCUUGUUCGUCAAGGAGGGUGCUGGCGAGUAGUGCAGCUGCCUCCCCUUCCCCACCUCUCCUUCCCAAUGGAGGGCAGCCAAUUUUUCAGUCACGAGACCAAUUGGAAGGUUUCACACUAUGAAUAUAAGAUGGAAUGGAGACAUAAAAUGGAUGUAGGCCUACUACGUCUCCUCGGUAUUGGUCGUCAUGGGCAAGGAUAUCAAGAGUUAGCAGCAUGUCAUGUUUAAAGAUCCAGACAUCAAAUUGGAGGAAUGGUUCAAAAGCACCAAUUUGAAUAAAUAAAAUGGCAAAGUGGUGGUACGUAAGGAUGCCUUAUUUGAGAUUUAUUGCUGGGAUUGUCUGGUUUAUUAUGUAGGGUUGGAUGUCCUUACACAUGUCAUAGGUAUAGUUGUCGCUUAUGGUGCUGCUGAGAAAGCGAUAAUUUCAGAGGUACCUUGUACCAGUACAUACUGCUUUGUUUCUUAAAAGAGAAAAGAAAGUGUCCAUAAUUUGAUAUCUCUGAUGUCUAACAGCUAAUUGAUGAUAAUAUUAUCAUACACCUUCUCCUUUAAGGGGUCUGUGAAUUUACAUCAAUUUGUAACUGAUGCUGGGACAACUAAUAACAGUCAGCCUAUGCAUAUCAUUCUGCUUCAAACUGAGCAACCUCCAAGAAAAGAAUGAUAUGUUCUUAUCAAAAGGGUCGGGACCUAUAAGCCUUAUAAACGGAAGCAAAAUCAAUGGCUUCUGACACGCACGAUGGCGGACUUGGUUAGCUCCUUCAUGCCGCCUUUGUGCAUCACAUCUCCCUCAUGUCGGUGUUUAACAGGAGGUGCUCGGUGUAUGCAGGUUGCCGCUUCUUGGUGGUACGAGGCCAUCUUGUCGGUCAUUGUCUCGCUUCAUCUCGUGCAGUAGCUGACAUAGCUCCUUCGCCUCCAUUCCAGCUGAUAAAUGUUGCGGAAAAUUUCAUAGGAUGUGUGGAUGUGUCAGUUUAUCUGCCUUCAGCGAUAGUGCCUACAGGAUGAUUUUACAGGGAGGGGAGGUGGAUUAUGAAGAGACAAUCAUGGAGCCAAAAGUAACGGAAUGUCGGUCAUCUAUCCGAUGAAUGGACAUCCCCAAAAUGGCCAUGAGAUUGGGUCUAAUGGUCUGGAUGGAAAAGAUGUAUUUAUUUCGUAACUUCGAAGGGAAGAGCGGUAGCUUCUCUGAACAAGUUUUCCAUAAUGCAAAGAUAAUGUCAGAUCCCAUGCGGAUGACGAGGCUCUAACCUACUCGUGUUCCACCUGGUAAGUUGUCUUUCCAUAAACAACUAUUAUGGUUCCCACAUUGGAAUGCUUACCUAUUAUUUGCCAUAAGCAUUUCAUUAAUUUACUUAUGGGAAUGUAUGUCCUUCUAUAUUUACUUGUUUUUGUUAUGCGUCAUGCAAUGAUGGAGGUUGAGAAGACAACUUUGCAACCGUAUGGUCUUCUAAAAGGAUUUAUGGGCGCUUGUUUGUGUCAGCGGAGGUUGUUCACAUAUUCAGACUACUUGUAUACAUCCUUAUGACCACAAAGUUUGGAAUCAGAUCUUUGACCCUAUGUUUAGUGUCGUUGGUUCUGGAGCUCACAAGCCUCCUGGUAUUUGCUCAUGUGCAAUAGUCCUAAAUCAUAGGGCCUGAAAUUCAUCAGCUCUCGUCUACUGAGAGGGACGAGGUUUCUCAUGAGUGCGCUAGGUGCUUCUGGACGGCAUCAUGGGUUUGAUGAUGUUACUCCUCGCUCAGUUCUUCUAAUGGCAGUCUGAGGGGUAGGCCUGGAGUUCCAACGCUCUAUUUACUCCCAAAUUUUCUGCUGGUAUACGUGUUAGGGAGGCUCAUCAUCAAUCUACUGUGGGAACAUGAUUAUGUUUAAGCAGCUAAUCCAGUCUUCAAUCACUACUGCCUUCACUUAUUCAGUACUAUGUCUUAUCAUAAAAGUUACAGCAACUACCCAGUCUAUGUUGCAUUUAGUUUUAUUAGUGACGCGAACAAGUCAAUCAAUCAAUUUUCUAAUUAGUACAAAAUAUCUUUUGCC